rnacentral:lncRNA from 1 species
AUUUGAGUCAAAACUAAAAAUCCGGUCAUAUGAUGAAUGAAUCUGAAUGUACUGUACAUAUCCCCCUUUUGAGAGGGAACCAUAGAUUCUAUUAAAUAUUCCUAACUGGUUUCUCAGAUUUCCUGCAACAUCUACAAUGCAAUAUAACCUCCAAGGUGACUUGAGCAUCACAUUAUGCCACAUUAAAGCUUUGUAACAUAAUCACAAAAACAUGUUUCUCACCGAUGAGUUUGUUAAUAUAUUUGACAGUGUUUUUUUUUUAUUUUUUAUAUAUAUAUACAUAUAAAUUGUUUAUAAUGGCAGAGAUGGCCCAUGCUGUAUUUUUUUAAAUAUUUAAAAUAUUACAUAUUAAGUUUUUUUUUUUCUCUUUGUAUGUUUUCUUCAGCUCCAUCUCAGAUAUUUUCUGUUGAAGACAUGGCAGCAGCUACUCAAACACGGCGAGUGAGUUCUCCUCCAGAAGUCCAGAGCAGCUUGUUACAGAGAGAAGGCUCCAUUCCCAUAGGGAAGAUGUUUGAAGACCCUGUGAAGAGACACCCCCAGUUCAUUAUGUAACAAGAGUCUAAAUGUCAUGAAGUGAUUUUGAUUUCCAACAUAUGUACAAUAGUUUUUAAAAUCAUUUCAUUAUAAUGUUUUCUCCA